GAUGAAGAACGUAGCGAAAUGCGAUAAGUAGUGUGAAUUGCAGAAUUCAGUGAAUCAUCGAAUCUUUGAACGCACAUUGCGCCCUUUGGUAUUCCUUAGGGCAUGCCUGUUCGAGCGUCAUUUCAACCAUCAAGCCCCAGGCUUGUGUUGGAGCCCUGCGGCUGCCGCAGCCUCCCAAAACCAGUGGCGGGCUCGCUAUCACACCGAGUGCAGUAGUUUACUCUUCGCUCAGGGCGUGUGGCGGGUGCUAGCCGUGAAACCCCCAACUUCUCAAGGUUGACCUCGGAUCAGGUAGGAAUACCCGCUGAACUUAAGCAUAUCAAUAAGCGGAGGA
rnacentral:misc_RNA from 1 species